GAUCACAGCCCUCAUGGAGCUGGAAACAUGAAGAAUUAUAACCCUCCCCUUCCUUCCAUUGCAAUGGAAAAGGAGGCUGUUUAUUAGCUUCAGAUGUAUGGAAGAGGAGAGCUAGAUGAUGUAGAAGUUCUCAAGCUAAGAGUGUAGCUGUUAUGAGCACUGCCAGAAGCAAAGCUCAAAUGACUCUAACUAAAUCCCCUUGGAUGUGAGAAAGAUCAGUGUCAGACACCUCCAGUUCCAGCAGCUCCAUUCAGUUAAGUCACACUUUGCAUAAAAAACAUCCUGCAUUUGUGUACAUCCUGGUGGUACAGCACAUGGUACAGAAAAAUGUCUAAUUUGUAAUUGUUAAUUUAAAAAAGCUGCAGAUUUCAGGAUCUACAGAGCCUCCAGACACAUACAAACAAAAUUAAUGUCGUACUUUCCACCUUUUUACUCAAAGUACAAAUUAUAAAGCUCAGGCUGAACUGGUUCAGAUAAAGCAUCAGGGUAUCAUCUACUUUAUUUAUAAAUCUGAUAGCUGAGUUCCUGAUACAGAUACUUGAAUAAAGUUAAUUGAAAAACAUUCUCAUUCUUUAAUUUGAAACCUGCAUAGUCAAAAAACAUCUUUCCAAGAUUUUUUCUUGAUAAAAAAAUUAACCCGAAAUAUUUGGGGAAACAAAAUGCAAGAUGAAGAUUUGAAAAUUAUCAAAAUUAAUGGAGCCCAUAUUUAAUGUUGGGGUGGGUUAACCCUGGCCUGAUGCAGGUACCAACCAAAGCUGCUCUAUCAUUUCCCUCUUCAACUAUACGAAGCAGAGAAAAUAAAAGGUUCAUGGGCCAGGGAGAGUUCACUAAUCAAUUACACAAAAACCCCAGCCUUGACUUGGGAAAGUUAAUUAAACUUAUUAACAAUCAAAUCAGAGUAUGAUAAUAGAGGUAAAACAAGAAACCACCUUCCACCCACCCCUCUCUUCCAGGCACAACAUUACCCAGGAUUCUCUAUCUCCUGCCCUGCAGUGGAGAAGGGGGACAGGGAAUGGGGUCUGUGGUCAGUUCAUCACACAUUGUCUCUGCUGCCUCUUCCUACUUGGGGGGAGGACUCCUCAUACUCUUCCCUUGCUCCCAAUGGGGUCCCUCCCAUGGGAAUCAGUCCUCCAUGGACUUCUCCAAGGAGAGUCCUUCCCACAGGCUGCAGUUCAUGAACUGCUCCAGCGUGGGUCCCUCCCAUGGGGUGCAACACAUCAGGAACUGACUGCUCCAGCCUGGGCUCCUCUCUCCACAGGUCCUGCCAAGAGCCUUCCAACAGGGUCACAGCUUCCUUCAGGCAGCCAGCUCUCCUGGCACUGGGUGCUCCAUGGGCUGCAGGUGGAUCUCUGCGCCCCUGUGUGCCUCCACGGGCUGCAGAGGCACAGCUGUCCCACCAUGGGCUGCAGGUGAAUCUCUGCCUGCUCUGCUGCCCGGAGCACCCCCUCCCACCCCUCCUGUGCUGACCUUGGUGAUGCUUUCCCAUAAGUUCUCAUUUCUCUCUUCUCGAAGCACAACUGCUUCUGUGCAGUAACUUCACCUUUUUAAACAUGCUGCCACUGUCUCUGAUGGGCUUGGCCCUGGCCAGUGGCAGGUCCCUCUUGGAGCAUUGACACUUUUGGACACGGGGGAAGCUUCUGGCAGCUUCCCAAAAAAGCCACCCCUGUAGCCGACCCACUGCCAAAGUCUUGCCACAGAAACCCAGUACAAAUAUGAAUACUAGAAGAUUUUUCAUUGAGUCCGAGUUUACAGCUUGUUAACUUUGCUUUUUUAUUUUCUACAUUUAAUUCCAGAUUAAGUCUGUCGCUUGAUCCAACACUGAGAUCUUCAAGCUGUUACAGACUCUGUGUCUCCCUCCCAUGCAAGUGUUGUGGUGUUCCUAACACUUUUCUCCUACUAUUCAUUUUUUCCUUUUUGUCUGUGCUUUGACUGCUCUUCUGACCUGCUCUCUAAUCCUUUCUAAUUGCUCACAUCUUCCUUCCUAGGCAAAGGCUAUAGGUACUUUCAUAUUUCUAUAGAUGCUCAUAAGGUAGGAUUAUGUGGCAUUGUCUGAUUUACCUAAUCAGACUAAGAGAAAAGUAACUGCAGAAAUUAAUCAGAGCAGAAAGCACUGAUCUUGUGUAUGGGUCUUUGAGUAGUGCUUUUUGCACCUCCUGGAAAAAAAAGAUGAAACAUUUCAUUUUGAUUUAUUUACAGGUUUGAAUUUAGAACUCAAAUUCUGAGCAAUUCAAUGAUUUUGUUUUAUUUUCAAUAUUUUAAUCCCUUGUCCCAUAGCAGCAUUCAGAAUGGUAACAGCCAUUUCAACCAAGGAUAUUAAGCAGAUUACUCAUUUAAUGUAGAAUAAGAUAUAAAAUGUAUCAUUACUGAGUAAUAUCUUAAUUGUGCCUGCUCCUAACCAGUGCUGCACUGCCAUCUGUCUCAACUUUCAGCCACUGGUAUUCAGCUGCUUUUCAUCUGAAGGGUAGACACAGCUGGAUAUCAACUCAACAGCCUCAGGUAGGCAAUCUGAUCCCAUGCCUCUUUGUCCUUCUUGCCAUUUGGCAAUUGUGCACUUUUCUUUACAAUACCCAUAUGUUGCUUUGCACAUUUUAGGAUUUCAGCUACCAUGCUUGUUCAAAACACGAAAACUCCAAAAGGGGUUGGAGAAUGAAGAGGAUAUUGAGAAACACCUGAUUUUGCAUUCUGCUAAAGAAAACCACACAGUAGCCAGGAAUAGGAGAGGGACAAGGAAAGAGAGGAAGGGGAAAAGAAGAAGAAGGGGAAGGUUUAAUUUUAACUUUCCAAUUAUUAUCUAUCCCACAAACUUUUACACUGUAGCCAUUCCCUUCAAACGUCUGCAUAAACCUGUAAGUUAUAAUUUUAAUGAAAAUUGAUCUGAUGCACUUUAUGUGAUAAAGUGUGUUGCAGCUACAGGAAGUAUUGUUGAAAAAAACCCCAUGCUGUACUGUUUAGUGGGAAACAUGACACCAAUUAUUUUUUUCUGAGGGUUAUAGGCAGAUCCAAGUGACUGUCAAGAAGAAAACCUGAAGUCAAAGCAUGGGAGGAAGCAUUCCAAAGAAUAAAACACAGACUACAACAAUAACUAAAAGAUUGAUGUGGCCUUCCCAAACAAGUUUUGCCUGACAGUUCUGCUGAAGAUAUCUGAAGGAGUCAAUGGGCAUCCAGGAAGCUCUGGAUGUACAGUCUACUUGGACCCACACAAGGCAUUUGGCAGUCUUGAAGCAAGGACUACCAAAGAAACUGAGCUGCUUUGGAGAGAGAGGCAGUCUUCACAUGAAGGUAGCUAAAGAAUAGCUAAAGAUUUAGCAAGCAAGGGUAUUAAAAAUACCUGUUACUGCACUAGGGUCUCUUCUGUUCCAUAUGUUUCUAAACUAUCUGAUAAAAAGAGAAAUAUUGAGCUAAUGA